CCUACGGGAGGCAGCAGUGAGGAAUAUUGGUCAAUGGACGAGAGUCUGAACCAGCCAAGUAGCGUGAAGGAUGAAUGCCCUAUGGGUUGUAAACUUCUUUUAUCAAGGAAUAAAACGAGGCACGUGUGCCUUUUUGCAUGUACUUUAUGAAUAAGGAUCGGCUAACUCCGUGCCAGCAGCCGCGGUAAGACGGAGGAUCCGAGCGUUAUCCGGAUUUGUUGGGUUUAAAGGGAGCGUAGAUGGGUUGUUAAGUCAGUUGUGAAAGUUUGCGGCUCAACCGUAAAAUUGAAAUUGAUACUGGCAGUCUUGAGUACAGUUGAGGUAGGCGGAAUUCGUGGUGUAGCGGUGAAAUGCGUAGAUAUCACGAAGAACCCCGAUUGCGAAGGCAGCUUACUAAACUGUGACUGACAUUGAUGCUCGAAAGUGUGGGUAUCAAACAGGAUUAGAUACCCUUGUAGUC
rnacentral:rRNA from 1 species